rnacentral:tRNA from 1 species
CGGAGUGUGGCGCAGUCCGGUAGCGCAUCUGCUUUGGGAGCAGAGGGUCCAAGGUUCAAGUCCUUGCACUCCGACCA